CUCUUUUGGUGAGCAGUCGGGUUACACUGGCAGGCUUUCCAACGGGGUCAUACACUGGGGACACGUCAUAUCAGGGCUUCCCUGGGGAGGGGGCCACUGUGAUGGGGUGAUGGAACCCCAUGAUGUCGCUGUUGCCAAGCGCCGCUGCCUC